rnacentral:lncRNA from 1 species
GUGGAAUCUCUCAUCUUCUUAUUUUGAACUCUCUCACUGAAUUUUGGUUGGUGCCACUCUUUCUCACGUAUGGUGGAAUGUUUCAUCUUUUCCUUUUGAUUUCACUCACUCAAUUUUGGUUGGUGGCACUCUUGCUAAAUUUUUCAUUUGGGGGACACAUAGUAAUCUUCAUCAUCAAUGAGCACACGGGGGCGAAUGCUAUGCCCAUGAACACCUCCUCCAUGUUGUCCACUGUGGCCAAAGAGACCACGGCGAGAGUUGGUUGAGCUAUGUUGUUUAGCCUGAUCGCGCACCAUAGGAAGACGUUCAUCAAACAUCUUCUCCAUGGCCUCCACUAGUGAGUUUUGUAGUUGACGUAACUCAGCACGCGAAACUGAUGUUUCUUUUUCUCUAUAUCGACCACCAUGAACGCUCGAAUUGGAUCCUGGCAUGUUAGCACUUAUGCAACAUAUAGUGAAAUGAGUAAAAUUUGUGGAAUCCUACAAUCUCACCUCUUACUUACCAAUGCUCUUUCCUGUUCUUAAGGACAGUGAAUUGUGCUAGUGUAGCAGCUCAACAGAAGUGAUUCCGAGGUCGCAAGGAUUACAAGUCAAAUGUCCCGGGGUUUUUGGUGGAGCUAUAGGUGGCUAAACAAGGGAGGCUACGGUACUGAAAAUCAAGUGAUUUGAUGUGCUCAAAAGAUAUAACUUUGUUGGUAUAUAAAUCCCCAAGAAUCUGAAUCUGUAAACAGAAUUUUUCAGUAAGCAAACCACAAUACAACCCCUUUCCUCUUAUUCUACUUUUCUGUUCUUUCUCUUUUCUUUUCUUUGAAUUUUUUGAACUCUUUUUUUUAUACUAACAAGGGUGCGGAUAACAAAUGAAACAUAACACAAUAUAUGUAAAGAGGGUGACUAGCAACUUGAUGAACAUAAAAACACAAGAUAACAGUACCGUCAAAGGGCUAUAAGAUUGUUUGUGGCUUUUUCAGUGGACUAUAGAUGAUGAACAAAACAAUAGCAAACGAUAGAUAAACUAAAGGCAGAUAUGUGGAUGAUUGUGAGACCUACCGUGACAAUGAAAGCUUUGAUACCAGUUGAUAGGAUACUGAAAUAAAUCGACACGAGGGUGGCCUGAUCUUCACGAUAGUAGAUCAAAAGAACAAGGAUAACUUACUG